AGAAAUGAUGAGGCCGAGGACACCCGAGCGGAGGCGAUGAGGAAUCUUCGCUUCGCUGAUU
rnacentral:ncRNA from 15 species